UACGUAGGGGGCAAGCGUUGUCCGGAUUUAUUGGGCGUAAAGAGCGUGUAGGCGGCCAAGCAGGUCAGCUGUGAAAACUCGAGGCUCAACCUCGAGACGUCGGUUGAAACCGCUUGGCUAGAGUCCGGAAGAGGAGAGUGGAAUUCCCGGUGUAGCGGUGAAAUGCGCAGAUAUCAGGAGGAACACCAAUAGCGAAGGCAGCACUCUGGGACGUGACUGACGCUGAGACGCGAAAAGCGUGGGGGAGCAAACAGG
rnacentral:rRNA from 1 species